GAUGAACGCUGACAGCAUGCCUAACACAUGCAAGUCAACCUGUGGCGGACGGGCGAGCAACGCGUAAAGAACUUGCCUCUCAGCUUGGGACAACAUUUGGAAACGAAUGCUAAUACCUGAUACUGUGAGAGAGCUUUGCGUCACAUUUGCAAGUUGGAGAGGUAACGGCUCACCAAGGCGAGGAUGGGUAGCCGGCCUGAGAGGGUGAUCGGGCACAGGUGGACUGGGACACGGCCCGUACUCAUACGGGAAGCAUCGGUGAGUAAUGUUGGACAAUGUACCGAAGUCUGAUCCAGGAAUUAGGUGUGCACGGUAAAUUUGUCGGGAGGUAGGGUGCUUUCAGUAGGGAUGCGUUACCAGCAGAAGAAGUGACGGCUAAAUACGUGCCAGCAGCCGCGGUAAUUC
rnacentral:rRNA from 1 species